GGUGGAUAGGCUUUCCCUGAGGUCUAGUGGGGCUGCUGUCCUCUCCCUACGCAGCUCCUUCUCGCGCACUGUUUGGUGAGCCAGAGUGAUGUCAUAACCCGGCUCACGGCAUCACUACAAGCUGUGCGAGGGAGCAGAGCAGGGAGGUUACAGCUCGCCGCGGCAUUGUCAUCCGUCCGCCUGCCUCCCUCUGCUCUCCAUUACCCUGUUGCCCCCUCAGUCAGAGGUCUGCCUCCCUCAGCAAUAAACAAACCGGCUGCCCCACCCCCUCUGUCAGCCGCCUGCCUCCCUCUCACAGCUCUCCAUGAGCCGGCUGGCCGCCUCCCUCAAGCCUCCGUGAAACGACUGCCCGUCUCUGCUCUCAGGCAGCUAGUCACCUCA